UGCCCAUAUCUCUCUCUUUCUCGCAGACCCCAUUUUGCUAAAAUGAAAGGACCUCUUUGUCUCUCACAUUUUUCUCUCCUUUCCCCAAUUCAUCUCUGCAUCUCUUCUUCAUUGCUCUAAAAAACGCAAGAUCCUUCUUCCUCCCAUUUUUUUCGCAUUUCUCUCGGAACUCUUCCCAUGUACCUCGACGCAAACCCGUAGCCUUAGCCACGCAACCACACUCUUUUCUGCAACAACCCAAAACAAUUGCGGUCAUGGAAAUGUAGACACAUUUCAGCUCCAAUCGUCCCACAGAGGUCCCCAGAAAAGACUGAUUGCAUAAAUGUCUCCUGCAGAGGACGAACCCGCUGCAAAUUUUGCUCUCUGCGCCUCCUCCUUAAAUUCUGCUCAAGUUCUGGAUCAAAUGGAAUCAAUUUCUGCACUGUUGAACGGGUGCUGACCAUGCACAGAUUUCUGAAAUCUGCACUGUUGUACUGUUGUAAUCUGUAAAAAUAAAAUUAAAACGAAAAUUAAUUUUUUUUAUAUGUAUAAACAUCAAUAACUAAUUGAAAAUCUGAUUCGUAGGAA